rnacentral:rRNA from 1 species
AAGCUCGUAGUUGAAUUUCGGGAUCAGACUGUCGGUCGUGCCUCGGUACGCACUGGCAUUAUUGGUUCCUACCUUCUGAAGAACCGCGAUGUCAUUAAUUUGGUGUCGCGGGGAAUCAGGACUGUUACUUUGAAAAAAUUAGAGUGUUUAAAGCAGGCUUACGCUUGAAUACAUUAGCAUGGAAUAAUGAAAUAGGACGUUUGAUUCUAUUUUGUUGGUUUCUAGGAUCGACGUAAUGAUUAAUAGGGAAGUUGGG